UCUUCUUUAAGAAGAAAGAAGUCCAGUCACGGGCGUGCUGACAUCAUCGCUCAUCGCGCAGUGCACAUAUUUUCCAGUUUGCGAGCGGGAACUGACACGAACGGUUUCGGAUUCGCAAGCGGGAACUGAGACGGACGGUUUCGGGUUCACAAGCGCGAUGGAUGGACGGAUACUUAGGAGCACGUCGCGCGGAAACUGAAAUGGACGGAAGAUGGGACACUUUCAGAGUAUACAUGGCAUUUAAGGGCAGAAAUGGCCACAGAACUGCUCCAAGUGAACAAUGUGAAAAGUGAGAUGGUUGUCCUGAUUGGCAUAAAUGCAGUAGGUGCAGUCCAACAGAACAAAAAAAGUAGUUGAUUCUUUACUCUCUGUUGAAAUGUGUCUGUGUUCCCUUACAAGUUGCAACUUUUUGCUGAAAAUGGUAUAGCCAAGUUCUGUAAGUUUUGGCUACCGUGGAAGUCCAAAUCCAGUUUGAAUGAUUGCGAGAUUGAAAGCUGCAUAGCAGAUUGCCCCACUGUUUUGUAACUAGAACUGAUUUGUAUUUACAUUAGAGAUAUGUUUAAGUGGCAAUUGUGUAAAGAAAUAAAAACUUUUCUAAAACUGUU